GUUUGUUUUUGAUUGAUCAUCUAGUGACCAAAAUGUAAAUCCGUUUUUGGCUGUUUAUAAAUUAAUAAUGUAAUAUCAAAUGACAAAGAUCUGUUUUAGCCGUUAUAUAAAACAAAUAAUGAAUGUUUUUACAUUCUUUCAAAGGAAAGCCUUGUUGAAUGUUUUUUUUUCCAGCUUUCACCUCAUGAAAUAUUUGUCCCAUUGAACUCAUAAACAUUCAUUAUUUUUAUAAUAUCAAAGUUUAUGAGCUGUCUUGGGUUUUUUGUUUUAAAUUCGUACUUGUGCUUAUCUAUGUGGCUAAUCAUCUAACAAAUACUCGUAUGGCUGAUUGAAAUUGCCAUCAAUUAGCAAUAGUUGCUCACAGUUUUUGAACCCCAGAGAGAACCCAGAAACACCAUUAGUGGACAAAUUUUCUUAGGUUUCUGCAACGCAGCUUGUGUAGGACAUUGAGGGGUGUUCAGUCGUUGUCCGCUGAGGGUCUUGUUGCAGGGUUUGGUAGCAGUGUGCCCAGAAGGUGUAGAUCUUUGGUCAAUAUCGGCAGGCAGUUUAAUCUAUUAAUAUUGCUUAGAGUUCAGAAAAGGAGCUCAGUGAACUCAUGCUGAACUGGAAUAAAGACUUGUGCUGUUUUGGCAAUUCGUGGCAUCGGGUUCGAUUCAAUUUAUUUAUACAACGCCAAAUGAUAACACAAGUUGCCUCAAACCUCUCAACACAAGGAAGGUUGAGUUGAACCUUACCCAUCACAGAUUGGCGACAGUGUUAAGGAAAAACACCCAGGGCUUGCUGGGUAAAAAAAUCAAGCCCACAGCACAACAUUGACACCGCUGUGCAGCGCAUUUGCAUGGUUUUGUACAGCUAAUGAGCUCUGACUAGUUCCCUCAAGACCUGUCUCAGAGAAGUGAAGCUACGCAGUUUCAUCAGACCCAAGUCCUGUUUCGAGUCCUUUAGGCGCCUUUUAUUGAGAAACGACCGGUCUGGUUGUGUAGGGCUAGAAAUAACUAAUUAUAAUCACAAUUGAUUAAUUGGUCGGUUUUUUUUUAUUAAUCUUAGUUUUUUUUUAACCCACUAUCUUGAAUUAGCAGUUAUUGAGUAUUUUUCAUAUUCACAGAUUUCAAAAUUUGAGUAACAAAUGUUCCUGCUUUGGUUAUACUGUGUAUACUUUUACUACCUAUUCGUGGUCAUUACAACCUGCAGCAGUAUCACAUUGCCCGGGCAAGGGGGCAUUUGAUUUUCUGUGUCUCCAAGUCUCCAUUUGUGAGCAACAUAACUCGAGGAUCUGAUUUGGGCCAAAUUUGGUAGAAUAAUUGAAGUUUAAUGAAGGACAAAGUCAUUUGAUGUUAAAUCCAUUAAAAGUUAAAGUAACAGCCCAACGUCAAAUUUGUGCCCAAAUAUAUAUCAUAUACCAUAUUCUUCCAAAUAUGAGACAGCGUUGAUGACUGUCUCCCUUUGUCAACUCACCAUCUUCAAAUGUUAUACUGCCACAUAUUUACUGGCUGCUUGAGAGUUAUUUGAUUACUCUGAUGCACGCAGUCUUAUUCGCCAUGAGCUUAAAGUUUGCAU